UACGGGAGGCAGCAGUGGGGAAUUUUCCGCAAUGGGCGAAAGCCUGACGGAGCAAGACCGCGUGCGGGACGAAGGCCUGUGGGUCGUAAACCGCUUUUGAUAGGGAAGAAGAACUGACGGUACCUAUCGAAUCAGCCUCGGCUAACUCCGUGCCAGCAGCCGCGGUAAUACNGGAGGAGGCAAGCGUUAUCCGGAAUUAUUGGGCGUAAAGCGUCCGCAGGUGGUUGAGUAAGUCUGCUGUCAAAGCCCGGGGCUCAACCCUGGAGAGGCAGUGGAAACUACUGAACUAGAGUGCGGUAGGGGCAGAGGGAAUUCCCAGUGUAGCGGUGAAAUGCGUAGAUAUUGGGAAGAACACCGGUGGCGAAAGCGCUCUGCUGGGCCUGCACUGACACUGAGGGACGAAAGCUAGGGGAGCGAAAGGGAUUAGAUACCCCUGUAGUCCUAGCCNGUAAACGAUGGACACUAGGUGUUGCCCGUAUCGACCCGGGCAGUGCCGUAGCUAACGCGUUAAGUGUCCCGCCUGGGGAGUACGCGCGCAAGCGUGAAACUCAAAGAAAUUGACGG
rnacentral:rRNA from 1 species